CCACAUCAGUGUAAAUCAGAUGUGCUCUGAAUUUCAACAACCAAAGAAGUGGCUCUAAAGCUGUUGACUUCAAAGAGAUCAUCCCACAGGAGAGUGUGUGCAGACAUCGCUGCCUGUCUGAGACUGAAAAUGUGCAUAUGCGUCAGUGCACGUGGAGGGUGAUAAAGGUGUUAUUGCUGUUGGUAUCACCACUAGCGGUUCCAGCCAAGAGUGCAUUUGCUUCUCUGCAUGUCCGUGGCAAGGUACAAGAUCUGUACUGAAG
rnacentral:lncRNA from 1 species